GUGUGAGGGAUGAAGGCUUUCGGGUCGUAAACCUCUGUCGGAAGGGAAGAACGGGCAUUGGUCUAAUAGGCCUUUGUUUUGACGGUACCUUUAGAGGAAGCACCGGCUAACUCCGUGCCAGCAGCCGCGGUAAUACGGAGGGUGCAAGCGUUAUUCGGAAUUACUGGGCGUAAAGCGCACGUAGGCGGCCUUGUAAGUCAGGGGUGAAAUCCCACGGCUCAACCGUGGAACUGCCUUUGAAACUGCAGGGCUUGAAUCCUGGAGAGGGUGGCGGAAUUCCUGGUGUAGGAGUGAAAUCCGUAGAUAUCAGGAGGAACACCGGUGGCGAAGGCGGCCACCUGGACAGGUAUUGACGCUGAGGUGCGAAAGUGUGGGGAGCAAACAGGAUUAGAUACCCUGGUAGUCCACACCGUAAACG
rnacentral:rRNA from 1 species